AUUGAACGCUGGCGGCAGGCCUAAUACAUGCAAGUCGAACGGUAACAUAAAAGAAGCUUGCUUCUUUUGAUGACGAGUGGCGGACGGGUGAGUAAUAUUGGGAAACUACCUGAUAGAGGGGGACAACAGUUGGAAACGACUGCUAAUACCGCAUAAAGCCUGAGGGUGAAAGCAGCAAUGCGCUAUCAGAUGUGCCCAAACGGGAUUAGCUAGUAGGUGAGGUAAAGGCUCACCUAGGCGACGAUCUCUAGCUGGUCUGAGAGGAUGAUCAGCCACAUUGGGACUGAGACACGGCCCAGACUCCUACGGGAGGCAGCAGUAGGGAAUAUUGCACAAUGGAGGAAACUCUGAUGCAGCCAUGCCGCGUGUGUGAAGAAGGCCUUCGGGUUGUAAAGCACUUUCGGAGGGGAGGAAAAGAUGACGUUACCCUCAGAAGAAGCACCGGCUAACUCCGUG
rnacentral:rRNA from 1 species